AUAAUUUUUAAAAAUAUCGUUACGCAGUAUAUUUUCCACGAACGCAUUAAUAUUUUUACCAAAUCAUAAAAUGUUAGUAAAAACUCGCGUCGGAAUAGGUGGCGUUUCGAAUUUCAGUUAUAGGUUUGUACUAAAAUCGAUACAUUCUGGUAAUUUUCGCGCUAUUUGUAGCUGAAAUUUAUAUAUUUUUUUUUAGUUGUUAUUUGGUUUUAUGUGGAUGAAAACGUUUUGGCCAACCAGAAACAUUUAACAAUUGUAUACGAUAUCCGUCA